CAAGAUAAUUAUGAUAUAACAAAAGCUUGUGUUAUUUAAGGUGGGGCUUUGGUAGUCUAAUUUAGUGGGUGUCUGUAGUAGAUCAUCAUCAUAACAGCUCCCAGUGAAUCAAUGCCUCCCUGCAUCCACACCCCUUUGUAACAUGAUAUUGUUGCUCUUCCCAUCAAGAAAUGGUCUCUUUUGGCCGGGCACAGUAGCUCACGUCAUCCCAGCACUUUGGGAGGCUGAGGCAGGCAGAUGGCUUGAGGUAAGGAGUUCGAGACCAGCCUGGCCAACAUGUGUAACAAUAUGUUGAAUUUGCCAUGGGCCUUUAAAGCUUCAAUGUUGUGAAGAGCUCUGCAUGAAAUUUUAAAGAGACUGGACCUUUCAUCUGCACAACAGCAGGGCACCUCGCUAUAGGGACAAGAAAGGAAGAGAGAGAGAGAACAUUUCUGAAGUAAUAGUGAAAAAUAACAGCAGAAGCAAUUAUUUCAUCAAAGAUUGCAGGGAGAGGCUCCUCCGUGCUCCUGAGAGGCCGAACACAGGGUCGCCAGCACAGCUUACUGCUCGGUGUCUCCUGAGCCACAGAGGAAGACGUGGCAGGAGCACCUGGUGCUAAUAUAUAUUCAUGUCUAUGGCAAUGCCGACCAUCUGGCUGGUCUGAACCAGGAUAAAAGUGAAGAAUUCCUCUGUGAAGACCCAGCUCUUUCUUUGGCUCCUUUUUUGAAGCCAUCUUUGCUCUGCUCUCCUCUGCUGCCCAGAAAGUUCCAGAGUGAAGCUCAGCUCUAGAUGAACAAAAACUGGUUGAGUCCAGAGAUGCCUGAGUUGGAGAUGAACCUUGCAAACUUUCCUCAUUACCAUACUAAAAACCCCACCCAGGAAGGAGCUUAUCUGCCAUUUCCUACACAUGUGACAUAUGGAGAAGCAUGAUCAGCUACUUCACAGUCUCUGCCUUUACUCUGCCUCCGCAUACAAUGGCUCAGCCAACUAGCCUAACGAAAGCUGUUUUCACCAUUGUUUGGGAGGUACUGCUUUGGGAAACUGCCCCAGCUGUCCUCCUUACUUGUUGUAGGUAAUAAAAUCCCUU
rnacentral:lncRNA from 1 species